UACAGAGGGGGCAAGCGUUGUUCGGAAUUACUGGGCGUAAAGGGCGCGUAGGCGGCCUUCUAAGUCGAACGUGAAAUCCCCGGGCUCAACCCGGGAACUGCGUCCGAUACUGGAAGGCUUGAAUCCGGGAGAGGGAUGCGGAAUUCCAGGUGUAGCGGUGAAAUGCGUAGAUAUCUGGAGGAAUACCGAUGGCGAAGGCAGCCAUCUGGCCUAACACUGACGCUGAGGUGCGAAAGCAUGGGGAGCAAACAGG
rnacentral:rRNA from 1 species